GAUGAACGCUGGCGGCGUGCUUAACACAUGCAAGUCGAACGGGAUCGGCUGGAGCUUGCUCCGGCCGUGAGAGUGGCGAACGGGUGAGUAAUGCGUGACCGACCUGCCCCAUACACCGGAAUAGCUCCUGGAAACGGGUGGUAAUGCCGGAUGCUCCGACAUGACGCAUGUCGUGUUGGGAAAGAUUCAUCGGUAUGGGAUGGGGUCGCGUCCUAUCAGGUAGUCGGCGGGGUAACGGCCCACCGAGCCUACGACGGGUAGCCGGCCUGAGAGGGCGACCGGCCACAUUGGGACUGAGAUACGGCCCAGACUCCUACGGGAGGCAGCAGUGGGGAAUAUUGCACAAUGGGCGCAAGCCUGAUGCAGCGACGCCGCGUGCGGGAUGACGGCCUUCGGGUUGUAAACCGCUUUUGACUGGGAGCAAGC
rnacentral:rRNA from 1 species